CCUACGGGAGGCAGCAGUGAGGAAUAUUGGUCAAUGGGCGGAAGCCUGAACCAGCCAAGUCGCGUGAGGGAAUAAGGCCCUACGGGUCGUAAACCUCUUUUGCCGGGGAGCAAGGGCCGGGACGCGUCCCGGUCCGGAUAGUACCCGGAGAAAAAGCAUCGGCUAACUCCGUGCCAGCAGCCGCGGUAAUACGGAGGAUGCGAGCGUUAUCCGGCUUUAUUGGGUUUAAAGGGUGCGUAGGCGGGCUUUUAAGUCAGCGGGAAAACUUCGGGGCUCAACCCCGGCCGGCCGUUGAAACUGGGGGCCUUGAGUGGGCGAGAAGAAGGCGGAAUGCGUGGUGUAGCGGUGAAAUGCAUAGAUAUCACGCAGAACCCCGAUUGCGAAGGCAGCCUUCCGGAGCCCUACUGACGCUGAGGCACGAAAGUGCGGGGAUCGAACAGGAUUAGAUACCCGGGUAGUC
rnacentral:rRNA from 1 species